GACGAACCGUGCGAACGUUAAUCGGAAUUACUGGGCGUAAAGCGUGCGCAGGCGGUGAUGUAAGACCGAUGUGAAAUCCCCGGGCUUAACCUGGGAACUGCAUUGGUGACUGCAUCGCUCGAGUAUGGCAGAGGGGGGUAGAAUUCCACGUGUAGCAGUGAAAUGCGUAGAGAUGUGGAGGAAUACCGAUGGCGAAGGCAGCCCCCUGGGUCAAUACUGACGCUCAUGCACGAAAGCGUGGGGAGCAAACAGG
rnacentral:rRNA from 1 species